UACGAAGGGGGCUAGCGUUGUUCGGAAUUACUGGGCGUAAAGGGCGCGUAGGCGGUGUGUCAAGUCAGGCGUGAAAGCCCCGGGCUCAACCUGGGAACCGCGCUUGAGACUGGCACGCUCGAGUUCGGGAGAGGAUGGUGGAAUUCCCAGUGUAGAGGUGAAAUGCGCAGAUAUCAGGAGGAACACCAAUGGCGAAGGCAGCUCGCUGGGACGACACUGACGCUGAGACGCGAAAGCGUGGGGAGCAAACAGG
rnacentral:rRNA from 1 species